AUUGAACGCUGGCGGCAGGCCUAACACAUGCAAGUCGAACGGCAGCACAGAAGAGCUUGCUCUUUGGGUGGCGAGUGGCGGACGGGUGAGUAAUGUCUGGGAAACUGCCCGAUGGAGGGGGAUAACUACUGGAAACGGUAGCUAAUACCGCAUAACGUCGCAAGACCAAAGUGGGGGACCUUCGGGCCUCACACCAUCGGAUGUGCCCAGAUGGGAUUAGCUAGUAGGUGGGGUAAUGGCUCACCUAGGCGACGAUCCCUAGCUGGUCUGAGAGGAUGACCAGCCACACUGGAACUGAGACACGGUCCAGACUCCUACGGGAGGCAGCGGUGGGGAAUAUUGCACAAUGGGCGCAAGCCUGAUGCAGCCAUGCCGCGUGUAUGAAGAAGGCCUUCGGGUUGUAAAGUACUUUCAGCGGGGAGGAAGGCGGUGAGGUUAAUAACCUCGCCGAUUGACGUUACCCGCAGAAGAAGCACCGGCUAACUCCGUGCCAGCCGCCGCUGUAA
rnacentral:rRNA from 1 species